rnacentral:lncRNA from 1 species
CUUCAAUGACCUAAAAAAUCGUAUAACACAACAUGUGCGAAACAUCAUUCCUGAUUCAUUACAUUCCGCAGUUGAGCACAUCGCACACCGCCUGGAUUGUGCCCUCCAGCUCAGUGGCCGUGUGGAGCCUGGGCUUGGUCGGCGCCGCCGUGCGCGGGCGUGGUCGCAUUGUCUGUAACAUUUGUCAGUGGAUUGGGUAUGCCAUCCGGUUUUGCGUUUUGGUUCUUUGUUGUUGUAUUGCACAUUACAUUCAAGGGCGCCACCUGUCGGCAAUUGUUCCAACUAAUUUUUUUUUAUUCCAUUCUUCUCCU